CAUUCGCACACUCGCUGCUGUCACUAGGGCUUCAUGGGGAAGGGCCAGCGACCGGAGGAAUAACUCGACGGGCACCUCCGAUCCCUUUCGUAGCCAAUGGAGGACAACACUAAUAUACAUAAGACCGGCAAGGGAAAGAAGAAAGCUCUUACUGUCAACAAGGAUAGAUUCAUCAGUAAAAUGUUUCUUGGAGAGGACUCUGUCAUCAUUGUGCUCAGAAAUCCCAAGUAAGAACCAGAGUUGGAAUCUUGGGAUAGCUGUGUGGAUUGCAUGCUUCAUGGUUUUCUUAUGGAAUGAUGUCAUGAACCAGCAGCGUAUUUGAGGUGUGAGUGGAACCUCACUUGAAGCAAGCAAAAUGGAGGAGAAAGGGGUAGUUGAUGCCACCAUUUUGAUAUGGUCAGGUGUGGGUGGAACCUCACUUGAAGCAAGCAAAAUGAAGGAGACAGGGGUAGUUGAUACCACCGUGCACCUCAAAUAUGAGUGUUUAAUCUCCCACCAACCAACCACCCCCC